rnacentral:ribozyme from 1 species
UCUCGACUGAGCGAGUAUAAAUAGGCAUCAAGCUCAGUGCGUCAGCUCGUAUCACCCUACGAGCUGGGUUGCA